UUCUAGAGACAUUAAAUGGUAUAUGAUUGUAUAUGAUUAUGGAGGGAAAGAAGUUGGAAUUUUCAAAAUGGCCGCCGUAACCAUGGAAACAGCAAAAAUGUCCAAAAUUUCAAAAUGCUUCAAACUUAAUGAAACUUAACAAAAAUGAUAUUUUGAAUGUGUAGAAUCAUUCUUUGACUUUGGAACUUUCUAAAUUGCUGCCGCUCGCCUGGCAAUGGGGGAAGGGUGCCAUCCGCUAUUGCUUGCAAUGCAAUCUAGGCAUAUUGUUAUUCUAGUUUCAUUAUGUCACCCGAUCGACAAUGUCGGGUGACAUAUUGCUUUUCUUAUGUUUCUUUGUUAUUAUUAUUAUUCUUCCACCUUUUUUUGUCCGACAGGUUUUUUGGAGUAAAAUGGAACCAAUCUUAAUGAUAAUUCACUAUAAGGAGGAACACAAAAUUUCGGGUUGCAGUAGGGUCUAAGACCAUAAAAAAUGGCUGCCGUUUCCAUGGAAACGGAACAAUUGUGAAAAAUUCCAGUUUUUGGUUUUGUGAAUAAUUUAGAGAUGCUUAAACUCAGAAUCAUCAUAUUUUAUCACAAUGUAGGUGCCAGCCAUAUAUUGGUUUUGGAUGAUAUUGGCAAUCAUUGGAACCACUAUGUUGCCAUGGAAACUACCCCAAAAAUUUCAAAAAUUUCAAAAUGCUCCAAAUUUUUUGAAACUUCAUAGUAACGAUGAGCAACUUUGGUAGAUGCGUAAUUUGGCGUUGGAAUUUCCAAAAUGUCUGCCGUUACCAUGGAAACAGUGCAUAAGUGUCAAAAUGCUCUAAAAACCUCAGGGUUUGGUAAAUAAUUUUGGUAUGCUAGAACUUGAAAUCAUCAAAUUUUUACACAAUAUAGUUGUCCACUAUAUACAGCUUUUGAAUGAUUUUGACAAUCAUUGGAACUCUUCUGUUACCAUGGAUACAGGACCAAAUAUUUCAAAAAUUUCAAAAUGCUCCUAAAUUGAUCAAACUUAAUAUGAUUGUUGACUGGCAAGUCUGGAUGAGACUUUUGACUUUGGAAUUUCCAAAAUGGCCACCGUUGCCAUGGAAACUGCAAAAAAGUCAAAAAUUCUCAAAAUGCUUUGAACUUAAUGAAACUUGAUAUUAUUGUUAACUGGCAAGUAAAGAUGAGACUUUUGACUUUGAAAUUUUCAAAAUGGCUGCCGUUGCCAUGGAAACAGCAGAAAUGUGAAAUUUUUUUAAAAUGCUCUCAAUGUACUGAAAAUUUACAGAAAGAUGUAUUGCCAUGCAUAUAUGUGCAUUCACUGUUAAACAAUUUUGAAAUGGCUGCCGCUUAGUGGCAAUUGGGGGAAGGGUGACAUCCGCUAUUGCUUGCAAUGGCAAUUCUAGUUAUGGCACCCUCAACGGAGUUGGGGUGACGUAUUGUUAUUCUUCGUUUCUUUUUUUUCUUAUUAUGGCACCCUCAACGGAGUUGGGGUGACAUACUGUUAUUCUACGUUUCUUUUUUUUCUUAUUAUUUUUCUUGCACAAAUUUUGUCCGCGCGAGUUCUUGGAAUCCAAUGGACCAAUGUUGAUGGAACUCUUCUAUAAUGAGGACCCCCAUGUGAAGUUGUGCACCUUGCUAUGGAAUGGUAAAAAAUGGCCGCCAUUUCCAUGGAAACAGCACAAAUGCGAAAAAAUCAAAGUGUUCCAAACUGGCAGAAACUCCUCAGGAAUGUAACUGGCAUGUGCUGAUUUGCAGUUUGACUUUGGAAUUUUCAAAAUGGCUGCCGUUACCAUGGAAACAGCUAAAAUAUCAAAAAUUCUAACUCUUUCGUUAUAACAUCCAGCUGGAUGAAACUUUAUGAAAAAUGUUACUCCGGUACGCCAAGAUGUCAAGAACAAUAUUUUGGAUAGUUUCAAAAUGGCCGCCGUUGUCAUGGAAACUGGGGCCAAGUUUUGCAUUGACCCUAUGGAAAAAUGCAUAAAAUCUGCAUUUUCUCAGAGAGUAUUGCACCAAAGUAAAUGAAACUGUAUUGAUAUAUAAACAUGACAUGUGGCAAUAGAGAUGUCUGCUUUUAGAAUUUUGGAAUUAUCUACUGUAACCAUGGUUGCAGGACAAAUGUUCAAAAUUUCCAAAAAAAAUUAAAAUGCUGCAAACUGGAUGAAACUUUACAGGAAUAGUGACUGACAUGUGCGGAGUUGCAUUUUGAAGUUGGAAUUUCCAAAAUGGCUGCCGUAACCAUGGAAACAGCAAAAUUGUCCAAAAUUUCAAAAUGCUCCAAACUUAACUCUCAAACUCACAUGAAAUUGCAUAAAAUGAUAAUUUGCAGAGUAGAUGCAACUCUUACUUGGAAUUUCCAAAAUGGCUGCGUCGCCUGGCAAUGGGGGACGAGGGUGCAUCCGUAUGUAGAAUUACAAAUCUAGUGUAUUAUUAUUAUAUUUUUUAUUCCUUCCACACUUUUUUGUCCAUUCUAAUUUUCGGAAUUGGCUGAACAAUAUUGAUGGAACUAUAUCAUAAUGUGGAACCACCACAUUUCUAUAACGUGGCAGUGGGGUAUGGCAACCAUCAAGAUGCUCCGUCGCCAUGAAACGAAACAAAUGUGAAAAAAAUCCUGUUUUUGUUUUGUGUGAAUCGUUUUUUGAGUAUGCUUAAACUCAGAACCAUUAGAUAUUUUGAAUUACAAUGAGGCCGGCCAUAUUACAGGAUUGUGGAAUGAUUUUGGCACUCAUUGGAACUACUAGUUGCCAGGACUAUCACCAAAAAUUUCAAAAAUAUAAAUGCUCGCAAACUUAUGAAACUCAUCAGCUAACCGCAUGCCAGCACAAUUGGAAAGAUGUGGAAUUUUGGCGUUGGAUUUCAAAAUAUAUUCUGUUGUUACCACGUGCAUCGAUAACAAGCAAAAAGGUCAAAAAUUUCAAAAAAAAUAAAAAAUUGCUGUAAUGGAUGAAAUCUUACAGGAAUGGGUCAUCCAUAGCUAAAGUUGACAUUUGAAGUUGAAUUUUCAAAAAUGGCCGCCGUAACCAUGGAAACAGCAAAAAUUGUCAAAUACUUCAAAAUGCUCCAAACUUAUGAAACAUUACAAAUAUGAUUAAUUUUGAAUGUGUAGAUGCACACUUUGACUUUGGAAUUUUCUAGAUUGCUGCCGCUCGCCUGUCAAUGUGGGAAGGGUGAGCAUCAGCUAUUGCUUUGCAAUGGCAAAUCUAGUUUUUAUUAUUUUUCUUCCACACAUUUUUGUCCAGUCUGGAACUCUAAUGUGAAUGGCCCCAAGAAGAUGGAACUAUACCAUAAUGUUAACCACCAUAUGAAGAUUUGCUUUUUGGGGUUGGCACUUUCAAGAUGGCUGCCGUUACCAUGGAAACGGAACAAAUGUGAAAAAUUUCAAAAUUCUAAAUCUUCAUUAUAGAGAUCCAAAGUGGAGCAAACUUUGUAGGAGAAUGGUUACCUGAUGUGCUCUAGAUGUGCAGAUAGAAUAUACAGAGGUUCACAAAUGGACCCGCCAUAUGUCAUGGAACAGGGCGAAAGGUUUAACAUCUGACGAGUAUGUGGAAAACAAAUAAAAGUGACUUUAUUUGGAAGGAAUAAUACACAAAGCCCAAUCGUAACUUUAGAUGAUAUGAGACUUUGGCAUGUACCGAUGUGGCCUUGGCUUUGGAAUUAGGGAAAUGGUAACGUACCGUGGAAAACAGACAAAUUUCAAAAUUAUCAAAAUGCUCCAAACGAGAUGAAAUUUUACAACAAUGUGGACUAAAGCAUGUUGAAAGCCUCUUUGACUUUGAAAUUUUCAAAAUGGCUGCCACUCGCCGGCAAUGGGGAAGGGUGCCAUCCGCAUUGCUUGCAAUGCAAAUCUUUAUUAUAUUUCUUGCAACAAAUUUUGUCCAGUGAUUUCUCGAAAUUCCAAUGGACCAAUGUUGAUGGAACUCUACUAUAGAAGGCCCCCAGGUGCAGAGUUGCAGGAAGCAUGAAUGGUUCAAGAUGGCUACCGUUUCCAUGGAAACAGACUAAAUGUGAAAAAAUCAGUUUUUUGUUUUGGUAGAACUGUGAUAUGCUUUACCCAGAACAUUAUAUUUAAUAAAUGUAGGUGCCCACUAUAUACAGUGUUGGAUGAUUUUGGUGAUCAUUGGAACUACUAUUUGCAGGAAACUACAUCAAAAAUUUCGAAUUCUCAAAAUGCUCCAACUUCAGAAACUUCAAGUAACGAUGAGCAACAUUGGAAGAUGUGGAAUUUGGGCGUUGGAAUUUCCAAAAUAUCUUGUUGUUACCUGGAAACAAAUGCAAAAGGUCAAAUUUGAAUUUUCACAGAACAUUCCAAGAACAUCAAUGUUAAAUUUAUUCUAGAGACAUUAAAUGGUAUAUGAUUGGAGGCAAAAAAUCAGCACGGUUUGACUUGGAAUAUUCAAAAAUGGCCGCCGUUACCAUGGAAACAGCAAAAAGUAUGAAAAAAUGAAAUUGCUUCAAAUUUAAGGAAACUUAUAACAAUGUUGCCUUAGCUUAUGUAGACUUGACUUUUGAGUUUGGAAUUUUCUAAUGGCGCCGCUCCCUGGCAAUGAGGGGAAGGGUGCAUCCGUUAAUUGCUAGCAAUUCAAUCAGUUAUUAUUAUGUCACCCGAUCGACAAUGUCGGUGACUAUUGCUUUUCCUCUAUUAUUAUUAUUUUUUCUUCCACCUAAUUUUGUCCGGCCAGUCUUUCUCAGAGCCAAGGAACCAAUCUGAAUGAUGGUGACUAAUAAUACAAGGAACCUGACUUUCCAGUUGCAGUGCAACUUUGGAACUAAAAAUGGCUGCCAUCACCAUGGAAACGGAAAAAUGGUGAAGAAAAAUAUAAUUUUGAGAAAGGUGGAAUUGUUUGAAAUGCUUACUAAAUCUUUAGAUUUUAACAAAAAGUAGGUGCCCACUAUAUACUCGCUUUGGGAUGAUUUUGGCAAUCAUUGGAAACUGCUAUGUGCCAUGGAUACUACACCAAAAAUUUCCAAAAUAUGGAAAUGCUCCAAAUUUAUAAAAAUUCAAAAUAGGUAACGUGAGCAACAUUGGAGAGUUGAAUUUGCGUUGGAAUUUGAAAAAUGUCUGCCGUUCCAUGGAAACGAGGUCAAAUGGUCCAAAAACUCGAAAGUGGCAUUUACUUUUAAAAUGGUAGGGUCAAAUUGAUCGAAACUUUUGAUGGUAUGGUCCCUCCCAUGUACCAAUGUGGUAUAUGCCAUUAAAAUUUGGGAAUGGUCUCUGUGCCAUAGAACACCACAAAUGUCAAAAAUUUCUAAAAUUUUCAAAAUUGAUGAACACUUAAUAUGAUUGACACUAUCAAGUCUGCAUGAGACUUUUGCAGUUGAAUUUCCAAAAUGGCUACCGUUGCCAUGGAAAUGGAAAAUGUCAAUAUUUUGAAAUGCUCCAAACUUAAAUGGAACUAAUAUUAUUGUAUAACUGCAUGUAUAGAAUGAGACUUUUGACUUUCAAACUUUUCAAAAUGGCUGCCGUUGCCAUGGAAACAGCAAAAAUGUAUGUUUUAAAAAUGAUCUAGAUUACUGUGAAAUUUACAGAAAAAAAAUGUAUAGCCAUCAAAUAUGUGCAUUCACUGUUAAAAGUUUGGAAAAUGGCUGCCUGCUUAUGUGGCAAAUGGGAAGGAAGGGUGAACANNNNNNNNNNNNNNNNNNNNNNNNNAUAUAUCGUUCACAACUGUUUAACGCGUCGACUGUGAUAUUGCAAACAAGUCGGUUGAUCAUGAUUAGACUAAAUUCAACAAAAAAAAAUCCAGCCAUGUUGAAAUUGUUAAAUAAGAGUUUUUAAAGUCAUUUUGCCAAUGGUGUCUUUCUACCAUGUGCUGUAGGAUUAUUAUUUCGUACUCAUGUCACAUGUUGGAUACAUGCUUUUUUAUCUUCCUUUGUAUAUUAGUUCUUCACCAGUGUGUUUAACGGCUGACUGAACAACGGAAUGCCUUUUUAUAUUCAAAAAAUCAGAGGGAUAGGAAAUGUAAAUAAUGUUUUUUAGUCUAUUGUGCAAUAUUCUUUACCAGUGUGCUUGCUGCUAGGGAAUAAUGUUCUACUCCCUUUAGAUCGUUUGAAAAUGGCAUUUUAUUUCCUUUGUAUAUAUUUCACCAUUGUUUCACAACUAUUUCAAAAAGGUGAAUACAUUAGUUAUAUUCACGAAAUCGAAGAGAUGAAAUGUAAAUAAUGUUUGUAGUUCAUUUUCCAAUGUUUUCUUUACCAUGUGCUGGUAGGGGAUCUAUCUUUCUACUUACCUUAGAUUGAAAAUAAUGUUUUUGAUUUCCUCUUUAUAUCGUGCACGAUGUUUUUAACGACUGAUUGCACAAUGUCAAUCGAUUCUGUAUUCACAGAAUCCAGGAUUGAAGAUUAAAAUAGAUGUUUUUAUUCAUCUUCCAAUGUUUCUUUAACCAUGUGUGUCUGGUAGGAUCUAUUCUUCGUACUUACCUUAGAUGAAAUAAUUGUUUUUGAUUCCUUUGUAUAUUCUGCACGAGUUGUUUUAACGGACUGAUUGCACAAAGUUCAAUGCAUUCUUGUAUUCAACAGAAUCCAGGAUUGAAAUGUAAAUAAUGUUUUCCAGUUCAAUUUCCAAUAUCUUUGACCAUCUGCUGGUCAGAGAUCUAGCAUGUUCAUACUCAUCUAAUUAAACAACCCACGUUUAUUUCUUUUGUAUUCGUUCACCGUUGUUUUAACGGCUUGGACUUGAAGCAAGUAAAUUUAUUGUGAUAUUGUCAACAAAAUCGGAGGAUUGAACUGUAAAUGUUGUUUUUUAAGUUCCAUUAUUCCAAUAUAUUUACUAUGCUGCUGAUUAGGAUCAUCCUUUCCGCUACUUCACCUUAGAUGUUGAAAUUUCGUUUUUAGUUUCCUUUGUAAUAGGCUCGCCCUGUUUUAACGGCCUGAUUGAACACUAAAUAGUAUAUUAGUUAUAUUCACAAAAUCGAGGAUUGAAAUGUAAUUAAUGUUUUAAGUUCAUUUUCCAAUGUCUUAACAUGUGCUGGUAGGAUCUAGCCUUCGUUCUCACCUUAGAGUUGAAAAUGCAUUUUUAUUUACUUUGGAUAUAUUUCACCAUUGUUUUCACAGAUAUGUUGAACAAGUGAAAUACAUAGUUAUAUUCACCAAAAUCGACAGAUUGAAAUGUAAUAAUGUUUUUAAGUUCAUUUUCCAAUGUUUUUCUUUACAUGUGCUGUAGGACUAUUGCUUUCUACUUACCUUAGAUGAAAAUAAUUAAUUUUAAUUUUCUUUGUAUAUCGUUCACAAUGUUUUAACGCUGAUUUGCAACAAGUUGAAUGCAUUCUAAUAUCAACAAAAUCCAGCAUGUGAAAUGUAAAUAAUGUUUUUAAGUUCAUUUGCCAAUUGUUCUUUACCAAUGUGCUGGUAGGAUCUAUUUAUUUCUACUCAUGUUUCACAUGUAUGAAUGCUUUUUUAUUUCCUUUGUAUAUAGUCACCAGUGUUUACGGCUGACUGCAAAAGGUGAAUGCUUGUUAUAUUCAAAAAAAUCGAGGAUAGAAAUGAAAUAAUGUUUUCUAGUUCUAUUUGCAAUAAUCUUUACCAGUGGUGCUAGGAUAUAUCUGUUCGUACUUCACCUUAGAUGUUGAAAAUGCAUUUUUAUUCCUUUGCUAUAUAUUUCACCAUUGUUUCAGCAACUAUUUCAAAAAGUGAAUUACAUGAGUUAUAUCACGAAAUCGAAGAUUGAAAUGUAAAUAAUGUUUUUUAGUUCAGUUUUCCAAUGUUUGUCUUUACCAUGUCUGGUAGAUCUAUUCUUUCUACUUACCUUAGAUGAAAUAAUGUUUUUGAUCUUCUAUUAUCGUGCACGAUGUUUUAACGACUGAUUGCACAAUCUGUCAGAUUGCAUUCUGUGUAUCACAGAAUCAGGAUUGAAAUGUAAAUAAUGUUUUUCAGUUCAUUUUCCCAAUAUCUUUACCAUCUGCUGAUCAGGAUCUGAGCUUUCGUAACUCGAUCUUAGAUGUAAACAACGUUUUAUUUUCUUUUUUAUUUCGUUCACCGUGUUUUAACGGACUGCACCUGAACAAUUAAUUUAUUGUGAUAUUCACAAAAUCGAGGUAUUUGAACUGUAAAUGUUGUUUUUAAGCUCAUUUCCAAUAUAUUUACUAUGUGUAUUAGGAUCUAUCCUUUCGUACUCACCUUGACAUGUUGAUAAUUCGUUUUUAUUCCUUUGUAUAUAGCUCGCCCUGUUUAACGGCUUGAGUGAACACGUAAAAAUAGUAUAUAUAGUUAUAUUCAACAAAAUCGAGGAUUGAAAAUGUAAAUAGAUGUUUUUCAGUUCAUUUCCAAUGUCUUUACCAGUGUGCUCUAGGGAUCAAUCUUUUCGUACUCACCUUAGAUGUUUAAAUGCCGUUUUAAUUUCCUUGCGUUCAUUAGUUCAUCAUUGUUAAACAAGUGAAUUUCAUAGUUAUAUUCACAGAAUCGAGGAUUAAUAAAUGUAAAGAGUUUUUUUAGUUCAAUUUUUCCAAUGUCUUUCACCAUGUGCUGGUAGGGAUUUAGUUUCCUACUCAUCUUAGAUAUUAUUAUUUUAUUCCUUUUUAUAUUGUUAAAAUGUUAACUCGCAAAAAUUACAAAAAACAAAAACCAAAAAAACCAUCUUAAUUUUUCGUUAUAAGAGGGCAACCUCUUGAAAGUUAUUGAAAUGUUGCAGGUGGGGCCCUGAGUUACCAAACAGUACUUGGCAAUUUCAAAAACGCUACCAUUACCAUGCAAGAAACUUGGGAAGAUCCUAUGGAUAAAAGACAUUAAAGUAAGCAGUUUUAGUGGCAAUGUGGGAAGGGUGACCAUCCGCUAUUGCUUUUGCAAUGGCAAUCUAAGUAUUAUUUUAGUUCUUCCACACUUUUGUCCAUUCUAUUUCUCAGAAUUGUGCAUGACCAGUAUUUGAUGGAUGUAGCCAUAAUAGUUGAAGACCGACACAUGUUAAUAUAGUGCAGUGAGAGCAUGAAUGGUAACCCUGUUCCAUGGACAACGAAACAUAUUGUGAAAAAUCCAGUUUUGUUUUGUGAACUGUUUGGAUAUGUUGAAAAAAAAAAGCUUCCAAAGAUCCCAUUAUUUAAUUUUUAUACAAUGUAGGUGCCCACUAUAUACAGGUGUUGGAUGAUUUUGGUACUCAUUGGAACUACUAUGUUGCCAUGGAAACUGCACCAAAAAUUUCAAAAGUAUCAAAAUGCUCAAAACUUAAUGAAACUUCACAGUAACGAUGAGCAACAUUGAAACAUGUGGAAUUUGGCGUUGGAAUUUCCAAAAUAUCUGUUGUUACCAUUGAAACAAUGCAAAAAGGUCAAAACUUUGAAUUUUCACAGAACAUUCCAGAACAUCAAUGUUAAAUUUAUUCUAGAGACUUAAAUGGUAUAUGAUUUGUAUUAGGAUUCAUGGAGGGGAAAGAAGUUGCAGGGGUUUGACUUUGGAUUCAAAAUGGCCGCCGUUACCAUGAAGAACAGCAUAAAUUCCGAAAUUUAAAAUGCCUCCUAAAUUAAUGAAACUUAUAAAAAAUGAUAUUGUGCUUGAAUGUAGACAUUACUUUGUGAAUCAGCGCCUCCUGGAAAACAAAUUUUAAAUGGCUGCCGCCUGGCUUGCAAUUGGGGGAAGGUGCCAUCCCUAUUGCUUGCCAAUGGCAAAUCUAGUUAAUUGCACCCUCAACGCAGUUGGUCUACAUAUUGUUAUUCUACAGUUUCUUUUUUUUUAUUAAUGUCACCCGAUCACCAAAUUGUCUGAGUACCAUAUUGCUUGCUGGCAAUUCUUAGUUUAUUAUCUUCCACCUAUUUGGUCCGCAGGUUUUGUAGUAAAUGAACCAAUCCUUAAUGAUAAUUCACUAUAAGGGGAAACAAAGAAAUUUCGUGCCAGGUGGGUCUAAGACCAUAAAAAUGGCUUGCGUUCCAUGAAACGAAAUAAUUGUGAAAAAUUCCAGCUUUUGGUUUUACGUGAAUAAUUUGAGAUCUUAAACUCAGAUAUCAUAGUAUCUGUAUCAACAAUGUAGGUGCCAGUCAUGUAAUGGUUGGAUGAUUUGGCAAUUCAUUGGAAACAUACAUGUUGCCAUGGAAAUUACCCCAAAAAUUUUACCAAAAAUUCAAAAUGCUCCAAAAUUUUUUGAACGUUCAUUAGACGAUGAGCAACAUUGUCGAUGUGGCGUUAAUUUGGGCGUGGAAUUUCAAAUGUCUACUUUACCAUGAAAACAGGCAUAAGUGUCAAAAAUGCCUCUAAAAAAACUUCAGAGUUUGGUGAAAUAACUUGGUAUGCUAGAAUGUGAAAUCAAUCAAAUUUAUUUACACAAGUAUAUUUCCACAUAUAUACCAGGUUUGAUGAUUUUGACAAUCAUUGGAACUCUUACUUACAUGGAUACAGGAUCAAAAUAUUCAAAAAUUUCAAAAUGCUCUAAAAAUUGAUGCAAACUGUAAUCAUAUUGUUGCACUGCAAAGUCUGGAUUGAGACUUUUGACUUUGAAUUCCAAAAUGGCCCCUUUGCCAUGCGAAACUGCCAAAAAAGUCAAAAAUUCUCAAAAAUGGCUUGAACUUUAAUGAAACUUGAUAGUUAUUUUAACUGGCAAGUAAAGAUGAGACUUUUGACGUUUAGAAAUUUCAAAAUGGGUGCCGUUGCCAUGGAAAACAGAUAGAAAUGUUGAUAUUUUUUAAAAUGCUCUGAUUCAAUGAAAACUGAAAAUUUACCAGAAAGAUGUAUUCCAUUGCCAUUGAUAUAGUGCAUUCACUGUUAAACCAUUUUGGAAAUGCUGCCGUUAGUGGCAAUAGGGGGAAGGGUGACAUCGCGCUAUUGCUUGCAAUGGCAAUUCUAGUUAUGGCACCCUCAACGGAGUUGGGGUGACGUAUUGUUAUUGUACGUUUCUUUUUUUCCUUAUUAUGGCACCCUCAACGGAGUUGGGGUGACAUAUUGUUAUUCUACGUUUCUUUUUUUUCUUAUUUUUCUUCCACACAUUUUUCCGCGCGAGUUCUUGGAAUUCCAAGGACCACAUGUUGAUGGAACUCUCUAUAAUGAGGCACCCCCAUGUGAAGUGUGCACGCUUGCUAAUGAGAAUGUAAAAAAUGCGCCAUUUCCAGAAAACAAUCACAAAUGCGAAAAAAAUCAAAAGUGUUCCAAACUGGAAAAAACUCCUUCAGAAUGUUAACUGCAUGUGCUUUUGUCAAGUUGACUUUGGAAUUUUCAAAUGGCCGCCGUUACCAUGGAAACAGCUAAAAUAUUCAAAAAUUCUAACUCUUUCAUUAUAACAUCCAACUGGAUAAACUUUAUGAAAAUGUUUCCAUAUGCCAAGAUGCAAAGACAAUAUAUGGAUAGUUCAAAAUGCCGCCGUUGUCAUGGAAACUGGGGCCAAGUUUUGCAUUACCUAUGGAAAAAUGCAUAAAAUCAGCUUUCUCAAAGAGUAGUGCACCAAAGUAAUGAAAAACUGUAUUGAUAUAUAACAUGACAUGUGCAAAUGAGAUGUACGCUUUUAGAAUUUGGAAUUAUCUACUGUAACAUGAUAAUGCAGGACAUAAAAUUAAAAAAAGUGCUGCAUAACUGGAUGAAACUUUACAGGAAUAGUGACUGACAUGUGCGGAGUUGCAUUUUGAAGUUGGAAUUUUCCAAAAUGGCCGCCGUAACAAUGUGAAACAGAAAUAUGUCCAAAAUUUCAAAAUAGCCUCCAAACUUAAUGAAAUUUUAAAAAUGAUGACUUGCAGAGUGAUAGAUGCUCUCUUUGACUUUGAGAAUAUUCCAAAAGUGGCUGCGCCGCCGUCAAUGGGGGACGAGGUGCCAUCGAUAUUGCUAGCAGAUUACAAAUCUUAUAUUGUAUUUUCUGCAACAAAUUUUGUCCAGGUAUUUCUCGGAAAUCCAAUGGACCAAUGUUGAUGGAACUCUACUAUAGUAAGGACCCCCAGGUGCAGAGUUGCAGGAAGCAUGGAAUGGUUCAAGAUGGCUACCGUUACCAUGGAAACAGAACAAAUGUGAAAAAAUCCAGUUUUUUGUUUUGGUGAACUGUUUGGAUAUGCUUUAUCUCAGAAUCAUUAUAUUUUAAUACAAUGUAGGUGCCCACUAUAUACAGGUGUUGGAUGAUUUUGGUGAUCAUUGGAACUACUAUGUUGCCAUGGAAACUACACCAAAAAUUUCGAAAUUCUCAAAAUGCUCCAAACUUCAGGAAACUUCACAGUAACGAUGAGCAACAUUGGAAGAUGUGGAAUUUGGCGUUGGAAUUUCCAAAAUAUCUGUUGUUACCUUGGAAACAAUGCAAAAAGGUCAAAACUUUGAAUUUUCACAGAACAUUCCAGAACAUUAAUGUUAAAUUUAGUCUAGAGACAUUAAAUGGUAUAUUAUUAUGGAGGGCAAAAAAUGCAGCAUGGGUUUGACUUUGGAAUAUUCAAAAUGGCCGCCGUUACCAUGGAAACAGCAAAAAUAUGAAAAACUUCAAAAUGCUUCAAAUUUAAGGAAACUUAUAACAAAUGUUGCCUAGCUUAUGUAGACUUGACUUUUGAGUUUGGAAUUUUCUAAAUGGCCGCCGCUCACCUGGCAAUAGGGGAAGGGUGCCAUCCGUUAUUGCUAGCAAUUACAAAUCUAGUUAUUAUUGUCACCCGAUCGACAAUGUCGGGUGACAUAUUGCUUUUCCUCUGUUUCUUUAUUAUUAUUAUUAUUUUUCUUCCACCUAAUUUUGUCCGGCAGUUUUCUCAGAGCCAAAGGAACCAAUCUGAAUGAUAGUGCACUAUAACAAGGAACCCUGACUUUCCUGUUGCAGUUUCAACUUUGGAACUAAAAAAAUGGCUGCCAUCACCAUGGAAACGAAAAAUGGUGAAAAAAUAUAAUUUUGGAGUUAGGUGAAUUGUUUGAGAAUGCUUAACCUUAAAAUCUUUAGAUUUUAAUACAAUGUAGGUGCCCACUAUAUACUGGUUUUGGGAUGAUUUUGGCAAUCAUUGGAACUGCUAUGUUGCCAUGGAUACUACACCAAAAAUUUCCAAAAUAUGGAAAUGCUCCAAAUUUAAUGAAACUUCACAGUAACGAUGAGCAACAUUGGUAGAUGUGGAAUUUGGCGUUGGAAUUUCCAAAAUGUCUGCCGUUUCCAUGGAAACAAUGCAAAAAAAAAUGGUCCAAAAACACUUAAAGUGGCAUUUACUUUCUUAAAAGGGUAGGUCAAAUCCAUUGAAACUUUGAUGGUAUGUCCCUCCCAUGUACCAAUGUGGUAUAUGCCAUUAGAAUUUUGGAAUGGUCUCUGUUGCCAUAGAAACCAGCAAAAUGUCAAAAAAUUUCAAAAAUUUCAAAAUGCUCCAAAAUUGAUGAAACUUAAUAUGAUUGUUGACUGUCAAGUCUGCAUGAGACUUUUGAAGUUGGAAUUUCCAAAAUGGCCACCGUUGCCAUGGAAACUGCAAAAAUGUCAAAUAUUUUCAAAAUGCUCCAAACUUAAUGAAACUUAAUAUUAUUGUAAACUGGCAUGUAUAGAUGAGACUUUUGACUUUGAAAUUUUCAAAAUGGCUGCCGUUGCCAUGGAAACAGCAAAAAAUGUGAAAUUUUUAAAAAUGCUCUGAAUGUACUGAAAAUUUACAGAAAAAUGUAUAGCCAUGCAAAUAUGUGCAUUCACUGUUAAACAAUUUUGAAAUGGCUGCCGCUUAGUGGCAAUGGGGGAAGGGUGACAUCCGCUAUUGCUUGCAAUGGCAAUUCUAGUUAUUAUUAUUUUCUUCCACCUAAUUUUGUCCGGCAGUUUUCUCAGAGCCAAAGGAACCAAUCUGAAUGAUGGUGCACUAUAACAAGGAACCCUGACUUUCCAGUUGCAGUGCAACUUUGGAACUAAAAAAUGGCUGCCAUCACCAUGGAAACGAAAAAUAAUGGAAAAAAUUCCAGUUUUUGGUUUUGGUGAAUUAUUUGGAAAUGCUUUAAACUUAGAAUCAUUAUAUUUUGAUACAAUGUAGGUGCCGGGCUAUAUACUGGUUUUGGAUGAUUUUGGCAAUCAUUGGAACUACUAUGUUGCCAUGGAUACUACACCAAAAAUUUCAAAAAUAUGGAAAUGCUCCAAAUUUUAUAAAACUUCACAGUAACGAUGAGCAACAUUGGUAGAUGUGGAAUUUGGCGUUGGAAUUUCCAAAAUGUCUGCCGUUACCAUGGAAACAAUGCAAAAAGGUCAAAAUGGUCCAAAAACCUUAAGUGGCAUUUACUUUCUUAAAAUGGUAGGUCAAAUUGAUUGAAACUUUGAUGGUAUGGUCCCUCCCAUACAUGUACCAAUGUGGUAUCUGCCAUUAAUUUUGGAAUGGUCUCUGUUGCCAUAGGAACCAGCCCAAAAUGUCAAAAAUUUCAAAAAUUUCAAAAUGCUCCAAAAUUGAUGAAACUUAAUAUGAUUGUUGACUGUCAAGUCUGCAUGAGACUUUUGAAGUUGGAAUUUCCAAAAUGGCCACCGUUGCCAUGGAAACUGCAAAAUGUCAAAUAUUUUCAAAAUGCUCCAAACUUAAUGAAACUUAAUAUUAUUGUUAACUGGCAUGUAUAGAUGAGACUUUUGACUUUGGAAAUUUUCAAAAUGGCUGCCGUUGCCAUGGAAACAGCAAAAAUGUGAAAUUUUCUAAAAUGCUCUGAAUGUACUGAAAAUUUACAGAAAGAUGUAUUGCCAAUGCAUAUAUAUGUGCAUUCACUGUUAAACAAUUUUGAAAUGGCUGCCGCUUAGUGGCAAUGGGGGAAGGGUGACAUCCGCUAUUGCUUGCAAUGGCAAUUGUUAUGGCAAGGAGUUAUAUUGUUAUUAUGUCACCCGAUCGACAAUGUCGGGUGACAUAUUGCUUUUCCUCUGUUUCUUUUUCCAUUACCCGAUCGACAAUUCGGGUGACAUAUUGCUUUUCCUCUGUUUCUUUUUCCAUUAUUAUUAUUAUUUUUCUUCUUCACCUAAUUUUGUCCGGCAGUUUUCUCAGAGCCAAAGGAACCAAUCUGAAUGAUGGUGCACUAUAACAAGGAACCCUGACUUUCCAGUUGCUUUGGUAUUGGAACUAAAAAAAUGGCUGCCGUUCACCAUGGAAACGGAAAAAUGGUGAAAAAAAUUAAUUUUGGAGUUUGGUGAAUUGUUUGAGAAUGCUUAAACUUAGAAUCAUUAUAUUUUAAUACAAUGUAGGUGCCCACUAUAUACUGGUUUUGGGAUGAUUUUGGCAAUCAUUGGAACUGCUAUGUUGCCAUGGAUAACUACACCAAAAAUUUCCAAAAAUAUGGAAAAUGCUCCAAAUUUUAAAACUUCACAGUAACGAUGAGCAACAUUGGUAGAUGUGGAAUUUGGCGUUGGAAUUUCCAAAAUGUCUGCCGUUACCAUGGAAACAAUGCAAAAAGGUCAAAAUGCUCAAAAACCUUAAAGUGGCAUUUACUUUCUUAAAAUGGUAGGUCAAAUUGAUUGAAACUUUGAUGGUAUGGUCCCUCCCAUGUACCAAUGUGGUAUAUGCCAUUCAAUUUUGGAAUGGUCUCUGUUACCAUAGGAACCAUCCAAAAUGUCAAAAAUUUCAAAAAUUUCAAAAUGCUCCAAAUUGAUGAAACUUAAUAUGAUUGUUGACUGUCAAGUCUGGAUGAGACUUUUGAAGUUGGAAUUUCCAAAAUGGCCACCGUUGCCAUGGAAACUGCAAAAAUGUCAAAUAAUUUUCAAAAUGCUCCAAACUUAAUGAAACUUAAUAUUAUUGUUAACUGGCAUGUAUAGAUGAGACUUUUGACUUUGGAAUUUUCAAAAUGGCUGCCGUUGCCAUGGAAACAGCAAAAAUGUGAAAUUUUAAAAUGCUCUGAAUGUACUGAAAAUUUACAGAAAGAUGUAUUGCAAUGCAUAUAUGUGCAUUCACUGUUAAACAAUUUUGAAAUGGCUGCCGCUUAGUGGCAAUGGGGGGGAAGGGUGACAUCCGCUAUUGCUUGCAAUGGCAAUUCUAGUUAUUAUUAUUUUUCUUCCACCUAAUUUUGUCCGCCAGUUUUCUCAGAGCCAAAGGAACCAAUCUGAAUGAUGGUGCACUAUAACAAGGAACCCUGACUUUCCAGUUGCAGUGCAACUUUGGAACUAAAAAAUGGCUGCCAUCACCAUGGAAACGGAAAAAUGGUGAAAAAAUUUUUGGGUUUUGGUGAAUUAUUUGAGAAUGCUUAACUUAGAAUCAUUAUAUUUUAAUACAAUGUAGGUGCCCACUAUAUACUGGUUUGGGAUGAUUUUGGCAAUCAUUGGAACUGCUAUGUUGCCAUGGAUACUACACCAAAAAUUUCCAAAAUAUGGAAAUGCUCCAAAUUUUAUAAAACUUCACAGUAACGAUGAGCAACAUUGGUAGAUGUGGAAUUUGGCGUUGGAAUUUUGAAAAUGUCUGCCGUUACCAUGGAAACAAUGCAAAACAGGUCAAAAUGGUCCAAAAAACCUUAAAGUGGCAUUUACUUUCUUAAAAUGGUAGGUCAAAUUUAACGAAACUUUGAUGGUAUGGUCCCUCCCAUGUACCAAUGUGGUAUAUGCCAUUAAAUUUUGGGAAUGGUCUCUGUUGCCAUAGGAACCAUCACAAAUGUCAAAAUUUUCAAAAAUUUCAAAAUGCUCCAAAAUUGAUGAAACUUAAUAUGUUUGUAGACUGUCAAGUCUGGAUGAGACUUUUGAAGUUGGAAUUUCCAAAAUGGCCACCGUUGCCAUGGAAACUGCAAAAAUGUCAAAUAUUUUCAAAAUGCUUUGAAACUUUAAUGAAACUUGAAUAUUAUUGUUAACUGGCAAGUAUAGAUGAGACUUUUGACUUUGAAAUUUCAAAAUGGCUGCCGUUGCCAUGGAAACAGCAAAAAUGUGAAAUUUUCUAAAAUGCUCUGAAUGUACUGAAAAUUUACAGAAAGAUGUAUUGCCAUGCAAAUAUGUGCAUUCACUGUUAAAAGAUUUUGAAAUGGCUGCCGCUUAGUGGCAAUGGGGGGAAGGGUGACAUCCGCUAUUGCUUGCAAUGGCAAAUCUAGUUAUUAUUUAUUCUUCCACACUUUUUUGUCCAUGCUAUUUCUCGGAAUUGGCUUGAACAAUAUUGAUGGAAACUAUGCCAUAAUGUAGACCACCACAUAUGAAAUUGUGCAAACGGGGUAUGGCAUCAUCAAGAUGGCUGCCGUUGCCAUGGAAACGAAACAAAUGUGAAAAAAUCCAGUUUUUUGUUUUGGUGAACUGUUUGGUAAUGCUUUAACUCAGAAUCAUUAUAUUUUAAUACAAUGUAGGUGCCCACUAUAUACAGGUGUUGGAUGAUUUUGGCACUCAUUGGAACUACUAUGUUGCCAUGGAAACUACACCAAAAAAUUUCAAAAAUCUCAAAAAUGCUCCAAACUUCAUGAAACUUCACAGUAACGAUGAGCAACAUUGGAAGAUGUGGAAUUUGGCGUUGGAAUUUCCAAAAUAUCUGUUGUUACCAUGGAAACAAUGCAAAAAGGUCAAAACUUUGAAUUUUCACAGAACAUUCCAGAACAUCAAUGUUUAAAUUUAUUUCUAGAGACAUUAAAUGGUAUAUGAUUAUGGAGGGAAAAAAUUGCAGCGGGGGUUUGACUUUGGAAUAUUCAAAAUGGCCGCCGUUACCAUGGAAACAGCAAAAAUACAAAAAACUUCAAAAUGCUUCAAAUUUAUUGAAACUUAUAACAAAUGUUGCUCAGCUAAUGUAGACUUGACUUUUGAGUUUGGAAUUUCCAAAAUGGCCGCCAUUACCAUGGCUACCGCUCACCUGGCAAUAGGGGAAGGGUGCCAUCCGCUAUUGCUUGCAAUCGCAAAUCUAGUUAUGGCACCCUCAACGGAGUUGGGGUGACGUAUUGUUAUUCUACGUUUCUUUUUUUUCUUAUUAUUAUUUUUCUUGCAACACAUUUUGUCCAGGCGAUUUCUCGAAAUCCAAAACACCAAAGUUGAUGGAACUUUACUAUAAUAAGGACCCACAUGUGCAGAGUUGCAGGAAGCAUGGAAUGGUUCAAGAUGGCUGCCGUUACCAUGGAAACGAAACAAAUGUGAAAAAAUCCAGUUUUUUGUUUUGGUGAACUGUUUGGAUAUGCUUUAACUCAGAAUCAUUAUAUUUUGAAUACAAUGUAGGUGCCCACUAUAUACAGGUGUUGGAUGAUUUUGGCACUCAUUGGAACUACUAUGUUGCCAUGGAAACUACACCAAAAAUUUCAAAAAUAUCAAAAUGCUCCAAACUUCAUGAAACUUCACAGUAACGAUGAGCAACAUUGGAAGAUGUGGAAUUUGGCGUUGGAAUUUCCAAAAUAUCUGUUGUUACCAUGGAAACAAUGCAAAAAGGUCAAAACUUUGAAUUUUCACAGAACAUUCCAGAACAUCAAUGUUAAAUUUAUUCUAGAGACAUUAAAUGGUAUAUGAUUAUGGAGGGCAAAAAAUUGCAGCGGGGGUUUGACUUUGGAAUAUUCAAAAUGGCCGCCGUUACCAUGGAAACAGCAAA
rnacentral:lncRNA from 1 species